UUUUUUUUUUUUUUUUUUUUUUUUUUUUAUGGCAAUCCGCGCAGUAUGCGCCGUGCCAGAGUCGAGUAAAACGGGGAAACGGGGAGAUUAAAAUAUUUUCGGCAACGGAUUUAAAUUUAGGAAAUUAGGAUCAGGAGAGGACAUGGGAUAUAGGUUAUAUAGGUACUACAUUUAACUAAAUACAUAACAACUAAAAUAUUAAAUACAAGAACAACAGGUUUAUAUCUUAAUACUAUUGAAAUUUAAGUAUGAAAUAAUACAUUUAUAUACAUUUAUACAGUUUAAGUAUAGUAGACAUACUAUAGAGGUUGGGAACGGAAUAUGGAGAGAGAUUAAUGAGUUCAGGAGGACAUUUCGGUUACUGUAACGAGGACAAGUGAAGAGAAUAUGAUUGAGAUCCUCGACCUCUAUCCCACACUCACACAUUUCGUCAUUAAUAAUGCGUAGUUUAUAUAGAUGAGCACGUGUGCAAGUAUGUCCUAAACGCAUUCUUGUAAUGAUAGAUGUUUCCAUCUUGUUAAAUUUAGUUUUGAAGAACCAUGGCUUUAACGGAAUUGUUGGUUGAAUUUUAAAAAAUGUUCUCCCUUUAGUUACACUACUAUCCUCCCAUUCUUCUUGCCAUUUCUGUAUAUAUUGUAGUUUAGGUAACGUCACUAAGUCGUGAGAAUAAUUCAGAUAGGGGAACAAGUCUCCACAAUGCACUGCCUCGUUUGCUAGCCGAUCAGAUAUUUCAUUUCCCCUGAUGUUUCUGUGACUGGGAAUCCAAGCAAAAUGUACAGUAAGUCCUUUCAAAAAACAAUCAUAAAGAGCACUUCUAAUUUGGAAUAUUAUUGGAAAUUGUGUUUUAGUUUUAAAUGGGAACCUUUCUAGAGCUUGUAAGGCACUUUUUGAGUCUGUAAAGACAACAGAUUUUUUUAGUUUUGUUAUUGUAAUAUAUUCCACGGCUUUAAAUAGUCCAAAACAUUCUCCAGUGAAUAUGGUGGAUUCAGGAGGUAAUUUAAUUUUUUGAACAAUGUUGUACUGUGAAUGAUAAACUCCAACGCCAGUGCAGGUAUCAACAGAAUGUUUGGAGCCAUCGGUGUAAAUAUGGUGGAAAUCAUUGAAUUCUGAAUCAACAAUUAAGUUGAAAUAAUAAACUGCAUUUCUGUCUGAUUUUUCAAUAGGGAGAUAGUGUAUAAUUGGUGGAGUUAAAAGAGACUCUAGACUACAGUUAAAUAAUGGAAGAUAAUUAGAACGAUGAGUUGGAGAACUAAAUGAAGAGAAUUUCCGGAAACUAAUAAUUAAACAAGGUAAUGUUUUAUUUGCCCAAUAACUUGAAUUCGGUAUCAUGUCGGAUAGAGUUUGAAGUUUAGCUACAAGUGGAUGGUUAUCAAAUUGUAUUAUGCGGAAUAAAAAUUUAUCUGAGAGUAAUUGGCGUCUCAACCUUAAUGGUGAGUCGCAACACUCUACUUGGAGUGCGUUUACGGGACUGGAUUUCAUUGCGCCUGUAACUAUUCUUAAAGCCUUUGACUGUAUUUUAUCUAGAUUUUUGAAACUUGUAAUACUUCCGGGCUCUAAUAAAAACAUUCCGUAAUCUAAUACUGAUCUGAUAAGGGCGUUGUAUACAAGUUUUAAUGAGAAGGGAUGAGCACCCCACCAUACACCAGCCAAACACCUUAGUAAAUUUAAAAGACGUUCACAUUUACCUACAACAUAUUCACAAUGUGAGCUGCCAGUGAGUUUUGAGUCAAGAACUAAACCUAAAAAUUUAUGUUCUGUCUUUAAUGGAAUAGUAAUGUUAUUGUAAUAUACUUGGAUUGGUGGCGGAGCUCGUUUUCUAGUAAAAAUAACAGCAGCACUUUUGGAAGCAGAUAUUUCCAACCCAUUUUUGUCCAUCCAUAUUUUUAGAAGAUCUAGAGUGGCCGUAAUGGAGCUGCAGGCGUCUUCAACAGAUUUAUUAUUGGUAUAAAUUAAUAGGUCAUCCGCAUAUUGCAGAAUUUUAAUAUUAUCAUAUAAGCUAGAAUCUAAAUCAUAUGUAUAAACAUUAUAUAAUAGUGGGCUGAGAACAGAGCCUUGCGGCAGGCCUUUCCAAACUGAUCGUGUAUCUAUCAUAUCAGAACCAGUUAGAGAGAUAUUACGGCCAUAUAAAGCAUUUAGGAUGAAAUUUGUAAAUUUCCAAGAAACCUGAAGGGCUAAAAGUUUCUGUUUUAAGACGUCUAUAAGUACAUUAUCAUAUGCGGCGGAAAUAUCCAAAAAAGUUGCAAGUACAGAUUCAUUAUUAGUGAAUGCUAGUCGGAUGUCAGAAAUAAAAAUACUGAUGCUAUCCAAUGUGCAUUUUCCUUUCCUAAAACCGUACUGACUGUCCGAUAUUAAGCCUUUGCUUUCAAAAUGCCACUCUAAACGAUUUUUAAUAAGAUGUUCUAUUAGUUUUAAUAGGAUGGAUGAUAAGGCUAUAGGGCGAUAUGAAGAAGCGUCAGAUAGGGGUUUAUUCGGUUUACACACUGGCAACACUACUUGUGUUUUCCAUUCUGACGGGAGAGUUCCUGUGUUUACAAAUGAAUUGAUGAGCUGUAAAUAAUAACCUAAAAUGUUGUCACUGAGAUGAGUAAAGAAAGAAUAUGGUAUUCCGUCGGCCCCAGGGGCGGAAUCUUUAGUAUUAGAUACAACUCCUUUUAAUUCAUAUAGGGAAAAGUCUGAAUCCAAUGCCAUGUUACUUACUGUGUGUGAGGAAGCAUCAUCGCUGACUAUGUUAUGUGGUACCCAAGGGGGAGCUAAUUUGGUUAAAAAGUCAUGAGCUAAAGUUUCUGGUAUUGAUGGACUAGAAAUAUCACUAAACACAGAUUUAAAUCUUCUAAUACUACGCCAAACUAUAGAGGAAGGAGUGUUGGGGGAUAUAGAAAGACAGAAGUUUUUCCAACUCUCAGAUUUCUUUUUUUUCAAUAAUUUAGAGGUUUCUUUAUUUACAGACAUAACUAAAUCAAAAUUCUCUGAAGUCAUAUUAUGUUUAUAUUGUUUUUCAAUCUCUUUUCUGCGUUUAAUUGCUUCUGUACAUUCUGAAUCCCACCAAGGGGGUGAAGGAAUUUUGUUAGAUAAAUUUCCCUUUAGAGGGAAAACUUCAUUUGCUGCUUCGAUCAGAACAUUUGCAAGAGCAUUGGCACAAUCUAGUUGGUUAUCAGAUGAUAUAUUUGGGAGUGAAGAUAUUUUACUUUCUACACAAUUUUUAAAAGUUAGCCAAGUGUCACUAGUACUGUCUGGUAACCUAUGUUUUAAUUGAGAUGAAUGUUUCAGUGCUUUAGGUUUAUUAUAUGGAAAAGAAAUUAAAAUAGGGAAAUGGUCACUUCCAUAUGAGGACGGCAGGGUGCACCAGGUUAAGGAAGAGGCCAAACUUGGUGUACAAAUGGAGAGGUCAACUGCACUAACAUUUUGAUUUGGUGCUGUGAGGCGUGUGGGAGAGCCAGUAUUUAAAGUACAAAGGUUAUUACUGUCAAUUAUAUCAAGAAGUGCUUCACCAUAAUUGUUUGACACUGUACUACCCCAUGUCUGAUGGUGAGAGUUGAAAUCCCCUAAUAAUAAAAAUGGUCUUGGUAAGGAAGAGAUGAUCUGAUCAAUUUCAUUAAUAAUAGACAAAGAGGGAUGUGGAAUAUAUACAGAGGCUAUACAUAUAUUACAUACACUUACAGCUAAAAUAGAAAAAUCUUCACUAUGUACAGGUAAAUUUACAGGAGAGAAUGGGACGGAGUUCCUGAUGAAAAUAGCCACUCCACCAUAUCCAUCAGGUCUGUCUUCUCUAAGGCAAUGGGCUGGCAGAAACAACAUCCGCAAAGGAUUUGGAGGCAGGUGGAUGUAGCUUUGAGGCUUCCGCGUAUGAAACACAAUUAUGGGCCAUAUAAUGUUUUAUUUGCUUCUGGCGAGCCAGCUCUGGACAAGCUUUGCUGGUGGCUAAAUGGGACCCGGAACAUAAGCAGCAAAAAGCGUUAUCUUCCUCCACCAUACAGGAGUCACCAGUGUGAUCAUGACCACACUUGUAACAGCGUGGUUUCGACCGACACUGUACCUUUGUGUGGCCAAAGCGGCAACAGUUGUAACACUGUAUGGUAGGGAAGAUAUAUAGUUCCACUGGAAGUGCAUUAUAGCAAAUAAAAAUACGCUUCGGCAAGACCUGGCCAUCGAAAGUGAUCACAGCAGAUUGUGACGGUUUCCAUACUGGUGUACCAUUAAUAAAGGUUUUAUAAUUGA